rnacentral:lncRNA from 1 species
CUGAGGAUUGAUUGUGAAUGAAUUUCAGUUGGAAAAGUUCCUUUUGAGCAAGGAAGUCUAUUUUUGCAGAUAGAUGUGCACACAUGCAGUGUACUGACAACUUUACCAAACUGAAAUGCUUUGAUCUACAGAUCAGCUGAUACAUAUACCAUCUUUGAAGGAAACAGGAACAUUUAUCAGUUUUACAGUCUCUACAAUGUGCUACAGUCUUCCAUGUUUUUACAUUCUUCUUCCCAUUAGAAAUCAUCUUAAUCUUCAUGUAAAUGCGAUUUCUAACUUUAGUGUUAGAGAGUUGAUAUGCAUAGACUUCAGUAAAUACAGAAAAAUUAUUUAAAGAGCUUGUUUAAGUCAUAUAGCUUUUAAUUUUUAGCAAGAAAGCAAUCACUAUCCCAAGUCUUUUCAACUCCUUUUCUUAACAAAUGAUCUGUUUGUUGCUGGCUGAUAGACUUUCAAGAAAAUGAAUGAUGUUAUAAUUACAACUCUGGGCCUAAACCUAGUGUUGAGAAGGGAAACUCCAGUAAAAGGUGUCUCUUUUACUGUUGUGUUUUGGAGAUGGAAUGAGGAACUUCUCUUAUGCCUAAUGAGGAUUGAAUCUGUGAGUCUGGUAAAUAUUGAUGGGCAGGUGGACUCUGGAGUAGUGUGCUAUUGGAGAAGAAAGAGAAGCAGAACUUCAUUCUAACACAAGCAAUAUUUCAUGUGAAGUAAUACCUCAACAUAAAUCUGCAGAAUCAUGCUUUAAUACUCUUUUAAAAACCUAACUUUAGAGGGGAGAAGAGUGGGAAUUCUAAGACAUGCCUUGUGUGUUAUCUUAAUAUUUUCUACUUCAUCAGUACAACUGAAAAACUCCAUUAUGUUGCUGCACUCUAUGCCAGAUGCAGAGCUAGUGAUUCCUAAGGGUCUUCUGAAUUGUUUUGUACCUCAACAGUGUGUUUAAAUGUAAUUAAUCUGGCAAUGGUUUUGGUUUCAGCACAGUUAAAUGUAUGUAUUUCUGCCUUUCAAGUGAUGUUUAAGGUUACCUAUUUAUUUGAUGGGACAGAAGGUUUAAUGCCUUUCAAAGAUUCAAACUUGUUUACUUCAGUAAUGCAGAGGAAUUAUUGGUGGUGCUUUACGUGUUCACAGUGAUGUUCAGCAGUAACCUGUGUGGCAUAUGGACUUAUCUUUGUGCAGCUAUUUAAUAACAAGUCUAAGGAAUACAAUUGCUUUUAUCCUGUUUGUUGUCUUGGACAGUUUUUUAUCAAAAUCAUGUAUACAUAGUAAAUAUUUUUCUCUUGUAACAAUUUUUUUUUCUGUAGAAAAAAAAUUUUAAUAAAAGCCAAGUCUAGAAAGUAUGGAUUGUUUGG